UACGGGGGGGGCAAGCGUUGUUCGGAAUUACUGGGCGUAAAGGGCUCGUAGGUGGCCAACUAAGUCAGACGUGAAAUCCCUCGGCUUAACCGGGGAACUGCGUCUGAUACUGGAUGGCUAGAGUUUGGGAGAGGGAUGCGGAAUUCCGGGUGUAGCGGUGAAAUGCGUAGAUAUCUGGAGGAACACCGGUGGCGAAGGCGGCAUCCUGGACCAACACUGACGCUGAGGAGCGAAAGCCAGGGGAGCAAACGGG
rnacentral:rRNA from 1 species